rnacentral:rRNA from 1 species
UACGAGUGCCUCGAGCGUUAUCCGGAAUCAUUGGGCGUAAAGGGUGUGUAGGUGGUCAUAUUAGUCUUCUGUUAAAUUCUUCGGCUCAACCGGGGGCAUGCAGAGGAAACGGUAUGACUUGACGAUGUAAGAGGUCUCUGGAACUCAUAGUGUAGCGGUGAAAUGCGUUGAUAUUAUGAGGAACACCGGUGGCGAAGGCGGCUACCUGGACAGAAACUGACGCUGAGGCGCGAAAGCUAGGGGAGCAAACAGG